GAAGUAGAUCGGGCGGUCGUUCUCCGUUUUUUUGCGGGGAGAGGAAAGUCCGGACUCCGAUAGCGGCGUAGCGGGUAACUCCCGUCCACCGUGAGGUGAGGAUAAGAGCCACAGAGACGAGUCUGCUUCGUUCUUCGAUAUGUAGGCGGAGGUAGAACUUCUGAGGACUGAUGGUCGUGUGGUAGAGGGUUUACCUCUCGGAAGCCAUACCUUAAUCCUGCGUGUUGAUUGGCGAAGUAGGGUGAAACGCGGCAAUCUCUACGCGGAGCAAAGCCAAAUAGGGGAGGAACCGGAGUUUCCGGUGCGAGGCGGCUAGUCUCGCUAUUACUUCCGGGUAGGCCGCAAGAACCUUGUCAGCAAUGACGGGUCCAGAUGGAUGGUCGCCGGGCGGGGUAACACCUGUCCACAGAAUCCGGCUUAUAGAUCUACUUCGGUU
rnacentral:RNase_P_RNA from 1 species